rnacentral:rRNA from 1 species
AAUAGAUACCCUGGUAGUCCACGCCGUAAACGAUGAGUGCUAAGUGUUAGGGGGUUUCCGCCCCUUAGUGCUGCAGCUAACGCAUUAAGCACUCCGCCUGGGGAGUACGGUCGCAAGACUGAAACUCAAAGGAAUUGACGGGGGCCCGCACAAGCGGUGGAGCAUGUGGUUUAAUUCGAAGCAACGCGAAGAACCUUACCAGGUCUUGACAUCCCAUUGACCGCUAUGGAGACAUAGCUUUCCCUUCGGGGACAGUGGUGACAGGUGGUGCAUGGUUGUCGUCAGCUCGUGUCGCGAGAUGUUGGGUUAAGUCCCGCAACGAGCGCAACCCUUGUUCUUAGUUGCCAUCAUUUAGUUGGGCACUCUAAGGAGACUGCCGGUGACAAACCGGAGGAAGGUGGGGAUGACGUCAAAUCAUCAUGCCCCUUAUGACCUGGGCUACACACGUGCUACAAUGGACGGUACAAACGGUUGCCAACCCGCGAGGGGGAGCUAAUCCGAUAAAACCGUUCUCAGUUCGGAUUGUAGGCUGCAACUCGCCUACA